UAGGGAAUAUUGGACAAUGGGCGCAAGCCUGAUCCAGCCAUGCCGCGUGAGUGAAGAAGGCCCUCGGGUUGUAAAGCUCUUUUGUCCGGAAAGAAAAGCUUUGGGUUAAUACCCCGAAGUCCUGACGGUACCGGAAGAAUAAGCACCGGCUAACUUCGUGCCAGCAGCCGCGGUAAUACGAAGGGUGCAAGCGUUACUCGGAAUUACUGGGCGUAAAGCGUGCGUAGGUGGUUCGUUAAGUCUGAUGUGAAAGCCCUGGGCUCAACCUGGGAAUGGCAUUGGAUACUGGCGGGCUAGAGUGCGGUAGAGGGCAGUGGAAUUCCCGGUGUAGCAGUGAAAGGCGUAGAGAUCGGGAGGAACAUCUGUGGCGAAGGCGACUGCCUGGACCAGCACUGACACUGAGGCACGAAAGCGUGGGGAGCAAACAGG
rnacentral:rRNA from 1 species